GCGGUCAGUUGGUGUCUGCUCCAUAUUUGACUGAUCUGGAUAGGGCCCAUGUCAAAGGGCAACUUCAAGCUGGUGUUCAAGUUGUAGCAUUAUUUGGAUUGAGCCCUGUCUUCAAAUUGAAGGCCACGUUCUGUAUAACAGGGGAUGUCAAAGACAUACCGUGAAGUGUGCAACCCAAGAAGACGACACCACAAAGAGACAGUUUGCCUACAGAUCUCCGGGACUGAACUUCAUCCUCCAAGAUGACAACGCUCUCCUCCACAGAGUGGGCUUUAUCAGAGGCUACCUCGAGAAUUUGUGAGUCAAGAGGAUGGAAAGGCCUCUCUACAGUCAUGACCUCAACCUCAUUGAACAAUUGUGGGAUCAGCUUGGGCGUGCUGUUCAUGCCAGACUGACCAACAUGACCACAUUGGCUGACUUGCACCAAAUGCUGGUUGAAGAAUGGGAUGCCUUCCCACACCAAUGUGUAACCAAGCUGGUGACCAGCAUGAGAAGGAGGUGCCAGGCUGUGUAUUGUUCUUUCACUACUGAGGCCCCAGUGAAUAAAUCGGUUUCUUCAGACUUAAACCAUUAAUAUCAAUAAAUGACACU